GACGAACGCUGGCGGCGUGCUUAACACAUGCAAGUCGAACGGAGUGGCGAACGGGGGAGUAACACGUGGGUGACCUGCCCUUCACUUCGGGAUAAGCCUGGGAAACUGGGUCUAAUACCGGAUAGUGUGGGAUGGUGCCGCGGCCUAUCAGCUUGUUGUUGGGGUAAUGGCCUACCAAGGGGGCGACGGGUAGCCGGCCUGAGAGGGGGGACGGCCCCCUUGGGACUGAGACACGGCCCAGACUCCUAGUGGAGGCAGCAGUGGGGAAUAUUGCACAAUGGGCGGAAGCCUGAUGCAGCGACGCCGCGUGGGGGAUGACGGCCUUGGGGUUGUAAACUCCUUUCACCAUCGACGCGGUAGAUGGAGAAGAAGCACCGGCUAACUACGUGCCAGCAGCCGCGGUAAUAC
rnacentral:rRNA from 1 species